GAAAAACCUGGUGACAACCUAAUGAACACAGCAAAAAAAAUAGCUGCUGAAGAGCCACAUUUUUUUGGAAAUCACAGAGUAAGAACAAAGCUCAAAGGAGAUAAAUACAGCUGGACACAAAUACUAUAGCUGACGAAUGUCAAUGUGCUUUGUGUCUGCUGUGUGUGUAAAUAGGGUACCGUUUCCUUAAAACAAACCUAUCCUGCUUUUCCUCAUUCUCUGCCAUAUGGUGUUACAACGAUGGAUUCUUGUAUUAAACCUUUCCUACAUUUCAAAUAAUGAAGUCAUCCAAGUAAUCCCUGUUAGCCCAAAGUUCAGACUUCAGAUUUCGCUAAACUUCUAGCUUGAACAUUUUGUUUGCAAGAGGCAGCCAAUUAGAAACCAGCUCAGAGGGAGAAGAGCUGAAAUAAUCUGUUUCAGUGAGUGGGUUUACUGCAAAGCUGCACUAAAGGCCAGUUUAGGAUUUUUUUUUUUUUUUAAGUUAUUUAAAGCCAGUUCCUCAAGUUUCAGUUUUGUUGUAUUUUUUGUAUUUAUAUGUUUGUUAUAUUUCAGGACUGCAAGUCUGUAAUCUUGUUCAGUUUUUUUCUCAAAUGAUGUAAGAUUUUCUAAACUGUAAUGAUUGCGAUGUUGUUUAUUCUUAGAGUUCAAAGUAGGCAGUAUGCAGGCACAGAUGUAAAGUUUUCUCACAGAGUAGGCAGCAGACUGUAGCAGUUAUAGAGGAAUGUAGCAGUUAUAAAGAUGAAAAAAUAUAUAUCUGUGUGUCUUAAAUUGCAGAGGCAAAGCAAGAGACGAGCAGGAGAGACAUAGUUGUAGUAGAAUAGUGAAUUCACUGCACACCAGGACGGUUGAUUGUGAGAGCACAGCAUCCUCAGCACGUUUACAUUUGUUUUGCAAUUUUUAAUUUGCUCAAGCUAGCUUCACAAACUGAAAUAAACUCUAUUUAGUUUCAAAAAAACAUGAAGGGCACGUCUCAAAGUCUGGCUUACGCAAGCCCAGCUGCACAGUAUCACUGUGUUUAAAAUUACUUUUAUGACGAAUGACACAGAUUUAAAUGCAUGUGAAUUGAUAUUUAUUGAUUAUUACAAUGCAAAAACUUCUCUUGUAUAGUGUUAAUUCUCUCUACUAGUUAGUAAAUUUGUUUAAUUUAGUGCAGCCAUUUUGCAACAAAUGCAA
ensembl:lncRNA